rnacentral:rRNA from 1 species
GAUCCUGGCUCAGGAUGAACGCUAGCGACAGGCCUAACACAUGCAAGUCGAGGGGCAGCGGGGAGGUAGCAAUACCUUUGCCGGCGACCGGCGCACGGGCGAGUAACACGUAUGCAAUCCACCUGUAACAGGGGGAUAACCCGGAGAAAUCCGGACUAAUACCCCCAUAAUAUGGGCGCUCCGCAUGGAGAGUUCAUUAAAGAGAGCAAUUUUGGUUACAGACGAGCAUGCGCUCCAUCAG